AUUGGCUGUCGUCAGCUCGUGUCGUGAGAUGUUGGGUUAAGUCCCGCAACGAGCGCAACCCUCAGCCAUUAGUUGCCAUCAGGUUUGGCUGGGCACUCUAAUGGGACCGCCGGUAGGUAAGCCGGAGGAAGGUGGGGAUAGACGUCAAGUCCUCAUGGCCCUAUACAAGGUGGGCAUACACACGUGCAUACAAUGGCGACAUACAGAGGGCUGCAACCCCGCGAGGUGUGAGCUAAUCCCUAAAAGUCGUCUCAGUUCGGAUUGCACUCUGCAACUCGAGUGCAUGAAGUUGGAAUCGCUAGUAAUCGCGGAUCAGCAUGCCGCG
rnacentral:rRNA from 1 species